CUUGGCCCCGCCCCCUGCGUGAGUGUCCUGUUGGCGGCUGGAGUUUACCCCUUCUCGAACAGGAGUUUGGGUCCCUUUGGUCUACGUUUAGCCAGGCCUGACCCCACAGCCAUGCCUUGUCUCCUUGUCUCCAGUUGAUUCAGUGGUCUUGAAAAGGGAACUGUGUCUGCUUCUGCUGUGGUCUCAUGGUGACCUUUGAGGAUUGGGUAGAGUCCAGUAACUUCUGAAUAGGUAAGUGACUGUUGACUUUUAAAAAACGGGACAACUAGAAUAUCAUAAUCAAUUAAAUAUACUU